rnacentral:rRNA from 1 species
AGAGUUUGAUCCUGGCUCAGGAUGAACGCUGGCGGUGUGCCUUAGGCAUGCAAGUCGAGCGAACUAUCUUUUAGAUAGUUAGCGGCAGACGGGUGAGUAACAGGUAGGAAUCUACCCUUUGGUGGGGAAUAGCCAAUCGAAAGAUUGGGUAAUUCCGCAUAAGCCCCACGGGGGAAAGCACGUAACUGUGCGCCGAAGGAGGAUCCUGCUCGCUAUCAGCUUGUUGGUAAGGUAACGGCUUACCAAGGCUAUGACGGCUAGGGGGCGUGAGAGCGCGGACCCCCACAAGGUCACUGAGACACGGGGCCUACACCUACGGGUGGCAGCAACCGGGAAUAUUGCGCAAUGGGCGAAAGCCUGACGCAGCGACACCGCGUGUGGGAGGACACCCUUCGGGGCGUAAACCACUGUGGCGAGGGAGGAAGUUCUGACAGUACCUCGCUAGAAAGCACCUGCUAACUACGUGCCAGAAGCCUCGGCAAUACGUAGGGUGCUAGCGUUAUCCGGAUUUACUGGGCGUAAAGGGUUUCGCAGGUGGAUAGGUAAGUCUCGUUUGAAAGACCACGGCUCAACUGUGGGAACGGACGAGAAACUACGUAUCUUGAGGGCAUCAGGGGAGAUUGGAAUUCUCGGUGGAGGGGUGAAAUCCGUUGAUAUCGAGAGGAACGUCAAUGGCGAAGGCAAAUCUCUGGGGUGCUCCUGACACUCAUGUACGAAGGCUAGGGUAGCAAACGGGAUUAGAGACCCCGGUAGUCCUAGCCGUAAACGAUGGAUACUAGUUGCGUGAUUCACUAAGGGUGAAAGUAACAAACAAGGAACAAAUCUCAACUUUUUUAAGAGACAAACUGGUUUUUUAGUUAUUUUUUCUUUUAGCGAGUCGCGUGACGUAAGCUAACGCGUUAAGUAUCCCGCCUGGGUAGUACGAUCGCAAGAUUAAAACUCAAAGGAAUUGACGGGGAUCUGCACAACCAGUGGAGCAUGUGGUUUAAUUCGAUACGAAGCGAAGGACCUUACCUAGACUUGACAUGUAUCUGCACGCCUAGUGAAAGCUAGGAAGCCUACGAGGGUGAUACACAGGUGUUGCAUGGCUGUCGUCAGCUCGUGUCGUGAGACGUCUGCUUAAGUGCAGUAACGAGCGCAACCCCUGCCGUAUGUUGAAUGUUCAUGCGGGACUGCCUUACAGUAAGUAGGGAGGAAGGAGGGGACGACGUCAAGUCAGCAUGACCUCUACGUCUAGGGCAACACACAUCCUACAAUGGGGGGGACAACGGGUUGCGAUCCGGCAACGGUUAGCUAAUCCUUUAAACCCUCUCUCAGUUCGGAUUGUGGGCUGAAAUUCGCCCACAUGAAGUCGGAAUUGGUAGUAAUCGCAGGUCAGCAGACUGCGGUGAAUACGUUCUCAGAUCUUGUACACACUGCCCGUCAAGCCAGCAAAGUCGGCAGCGCCCGAAGCGGAUGUCCGUAACUAGUUUACUAGAGCGGCUCUUCUAAGGUGAGGUCGGCGAUGAGGACUAAGUCGUAACAAGGUAACC